rnacentral:lncRNA from 1 species
CUACAGCCUGCUGUUCCUCUCCCUGGACCCCAGGGCUGGUUUUGAGGGACCAGCUCUCUGCACCCCCAUGGGUGGGGCCUCACCCUGGCUUGCUUCUCCCCAGCACUCCCUGUCUGAUGUGGAGUUGCUGCUCUGCAGACACAAGGACUUAGAGAAGCUGCUGGCCUCCCAGGAAGAGAAGUUUGCCCGGCUGCAGCAGGAGGCAGAGGUGAGCAGAGGCUGGGGUGAGGGGGCACUGGUAGACAGGGGUGUCCUGUCUCAGCCUGAGGGUUGGGAUCCCCCCAGGCACUGAGCCAGUAUUUGAGCCUUGGGGAAAGCCCUGUUCUUUCCCUUGCCAGCUGCAAGGUCCUGUCACCCCACAUCUGGGUGGGCUGGUGCACAGUGUGGACUUCUGAGCUUGAAGAGAUGAAGAACAGUGAGGAGACAGGCGCUCUGUCUGGGUGGGAGGGAUGUGGGGAGGAGAGGCUGGGGUGUGGAGCCCCCAGAGCCUGGUCUGACUCAUCUGGCUGCUCCCCUCCCCAAGGUGGAACAGAAGCAGCAGGUGAAGGGGCUGAAACCCUUGAGAAGCUGGUGGCCCAGAGCACAGCUGACUGAGACAGGGGACCAGCAGCCAUCUGUCCCCAUUGAGUCUUGCAUACGCUUCACCGCCGUCUCCCCGGAGUGCACAGCGGGGACCCUGGGGGAUGCAAAGGGUGUCCCCACCACGGAGGGAAUUUUGGAACUUAAGCAGCAGCUCCUGCCUGGGAGAAGGCAGAACACGGCUUCUACAGCCUCCCUCGACCUCGUAGGAGUGCAGCGUGAGAAGCCGGGAGAUCACCAUGAUGGAAAACACACUUUUUCCUUAAGGCUAACUGCAGGAGAGACCCUGUCUGCAGCGCCAUCUGCAGGACAGACUGGGAGCUGGCGGGGCACCCUGAGCAGCUGGACAGGUAGGUCCGGGGGGAGUGGGGGGGGGGGAGGGGCGGGGCACUGGUUUCCUGGGCCCCCAGCUGCCAGCGUUCAGUGCAUCCUUUGAUGUUUAACAUCUACUACCUCUAUGCCUGAGAGGUAAGUGGGAGUGCCUUUUUUCUUAAUUUGAAGCCCAGAGAGGGUAAGCAACUUGCCAGAGAUGAC